rnacentral:tRNA from 2 species
GGAGAGAUGGCCGAGUAGGUCGAAGGCGGUCGCCUGCUAAGCGAUUAUACGGGCCUAAAACCCGUAUCGAGGGUUCGAAUCCCUCUCUCUCCGCCA